GACGAACCGUGCGAACGUUAUUCGGAAUCACUGGGCUUAAAGCGCGUGUAGGCGGCCCGGCACGUCCGUCGCUGAAAUCCCCCGGCUCAACCGGGGAAGUGGCGUGGAUACGACCGGGCUGGAGGGGGGUAGGGGGAGCCGGAACUUCCGGUGGAGCGGUGAAAUGCGUUGAGAUCGGAAGGAACGCCCGUGGCGAAAGCGGGCUCCUGGACCCCACCUGACGCUGAGACGCGAAAGCCAGGGGAGCGAACGGGG
rnacentral:rRNA from 1 species